rnacentral:rRNA from 1 species
GAUGAACGCUGGCGGCGUGCCUAAUACAUGCAAGUCGAGCGAACGGACGAGAAGCUUGCUUUUCUGAUGUUAGCGGCGGACGGGUGAGUCACACGUGGAUAACCUACCUAUAAGACUGGGAUAACUUCGGGACACCGGAGCUAAUACCGGAUAAUAUUUUGAACCGCAUGGUUCAAAAGUGAAAGACGGUCUUGCUGUCACUUAUAGAUGGAUCCGCGCUGCAUUAGCUAGUUGGUAAGGUAACGGCUUACCAAGGCAACGAUGCAUAGCCGACCUGAGAGGGUGAUCGGCCACACUGGAACUGAGACACGGUCCAGACUCCUACGGGAGGCAGCAGUAGGGAAUCUUCCGCAAUGGGCGAAAGCCUGGCGGAGCAACGCCACGUGAGUGAUGAAGGUCUUCGGAUCGUAAUACUCUGUUAUUAGGGAAGAACAGAUGUGUAAGUAACUGUGCACAGCGUGACGGUACCUAAUCAGAAAGCAACGGCUAACUACGUG